GGUCGGCUAGCUCAAUGGUAGAGUGCUUGACUACGAAUUGUUGUGUUAUCAAGAGGUUGCAGGUUCGAGCCCUGCGUCGAUCA
rfam:Pseudocercospora fijiensis CIRAD86 unplaced genomic scaffold MYCFIscaffold_1, whole genome shotgun sequence.